rnacentral:lncRNA from 1 species
UUUGAGGAAUGGGGACAGUGGCAUAGGCAAGGCAGCCAAAAGCCUUUAAAUGAGAGUAAGUGGGUGCCUUACCAUGCAAGAUUUCAUAAGGGUACUUACCAUGAAGGAGCCUAGAGGGUAUUCUGUUAAUAAGAUAGGUAGCAGUUAACAGGCAAUCACCCCAAAAAGAGAUAGGUAAACUAGACUGGAAGAGUAAGGCUCUACAGGUUUCAAGUAGAGUUUUAUGUUUUCUUUCAACAACACCAUUCUGUUGAGGAGUAUGUGGGCAAGUGGUUUGGUGUAUGAUGCUAUGUUGGUUAAAAAAGGAUGUGCCAGCAAUGCUAGAACCCAAUUCUAAAGCAUUGUCACUCCUAAUAGUUUGAACAUUUGCAUUAUACUGUGUCUUGACCAUACAGAGAAAAGAUUGAAGCACGCAGAAAGCAUUGCUUUUAGACCUAACAGAUGUGUCCAGGUUGCCCUAGAAAAAUCAUCAACUAUUGUGAGAAAAUAUCUAGUAUGCAGAAAGCAUUGGUUUUAGACCCUAACAGAUGUGUCCAGGUUCCCCGAGAAAAAUCAUCAACUAUUGUGAGAAAAUAUCUAGAACCAGAAGAGGUGGGGGUAUGAUAAGGUCCCCAAGUAUCUACAUGAAUCAAUUGAAAAGGUCUAGAUGUAUUAGUAGUGCUUUCAGGAAAGGGAAGCCUAGUUUGCAUGGCCAUUGGACAGGUAGAACAUUGAAAAGGCUGUUUAGAGGCAAAUGGAAAAGAUAAAGCAGAAAUGUAUUUCAUGUUUGCAAAAGGUAUAUGACCCAACCUUAAGUGUCAAAUGUAAUUCAUGUCAGUGGCAACAUUAUUAUUACACAUGGAACUGUUUACAUUCAAAGGCAAACUAACAGCUUGAUUACUAGAAUAGUCAGGUUUACAAGAAUUAGAAGAAGAAGAGCAUACAGAAACAGAAGAACAGCAAUUAGAAGAAGAUGAAGGUGGCACCCAAACAAGCUUGUACAGACCAGCCUCCUCUUUACCAAGAUCCAGAGGCAUCCUCAGAGAAGGGGUUUGUAACAAGUGAAGUAAACAGGAAGUUGCAGUGAACAAUACUAUACAAUGCAACUGUUUCACUAACUUGUGGACAAAAAUCAAGUUAUGUUUGAAAGAAGGAACAAGUAGGACAUCAUGAAGAGUGAUGAAUGGAUUUAAUGCAAAAGAUCCUGUGCAUGUCACUUUCACUUUGUAUCCAUCGGGAAGAGUAACAAGAUAGGGUACAGUUAAAGGUAUGAGAUUGAAGAGUAAAUCCUUGUUAAAAGUCAUAUGGUUAGAUGCUCCUGAAU